GUGGACUGAGGACAGCAUUCCUGGAAAAGCUUGAUUGUUGUCUGAGUGUUCUGUAAUAAGUUCACAAAAGCAGCAUUAAUCAAUCAGAAAAAAACAAAUGCACCGAAAAACCCAGGGUUCAGGCAGUGAGGCAUAAACUGUUGGGACAUACCGCUCGGGGCCACUGCUGUCUGGGACUGAAACACUGGCAUUGUACUGCAUUGGUCAUUGGCGUUCGUGGAUGUUGGCAUUGGGCAUGGGCAUUCAAUCAGAAGUUGUCAAGUAUGGUACCCGUUUGGCAACGAGCACAUUUUUGGGCAUAGCCAACCAGGGUUUUCACAUGGGCGUUCAGGGGCGGAUGGGCCAACGUCAUGGUGGGCAACGCAGGGGUAAGUCGAUCCAGUACAUGGGCAACGGAGAUAUAUGGCCAAAAAAACAAGGAGAGGGAAAAGGGGGAAAAGCAAUAAAUUUUAAUUUAAUACAAACUA